rnacentral:rRNA from 1 species
UACGAAGGGGGCUAGCGUUGCUCGGAAUCACUGGGCGUAAAGGGUGCGUAGGCGGGUUCUUUAAGUCAGGGGUGAAAUCCUGGAGCUCAACUCCAGAACUGCCUUUGAUACUGAAGAUCUUGAGUUCGGGAGAGGUGAGUGGAACUGCGAGUUGUAGAGGUGAAAUUCGUAGAUAUUCGCAAGAACACCAGUGGCGAAGGCGGCUCACUGGCCCGAUACUGACGCUGAGGCACGAAAGCGUGGGGAGCAAACAGG